AAUCUAUCUGUCAUUGUCCCUCAACCUCUAGCACUCCAUCUAACGCUCAAGCCCUCAGUCACUUAACUCGCUGUCUCAGCUACCGCCACGCUCGCUGCCGCUCAACCUCAGCGCCGUGAUCGCAGUUGCAUCUGAUUCCUUUUCCACUCGCCGUUCUCAGCUCCGGUCUUGUGUUCGCGUUCGAAGACCAUUCUCACGCUGUUCUUUACUUCUUCGAAAAUCCCCAAUUUCCAAAGUUCCCUCCCUUCUCAGAUGAGAAGCUUAAUGAACAGUGUGGUGUGGUGGCUCCUUAAUUUUCAAGAAUUAAAGUUUAAGGUCUAUUGACUUGGAGUGUAACUAUUUCCAAAGAUGAUUUUACUUUCUUGUAAAAAAAUAUUAUUUGUUUCCUUUUAAUUGAUGCCAGCUUGUAUCAUCGCACUUUACCGUAUGUAAAAUUUACUAUAUGUAUAAAUGAUUUUUCAGAUUUCUCACAAUGUGUGUGAGAAUGCUGAAAAUUUGUAAUUUUUUUUAAUUUCAAUGUAGCAACCAUUGUAGCCUAUUAGUGAGUCCGUAUAAGAUAACGGUGCUUUAACUGCUUUAUACCAUUGAUGAUCUUGCUGCGCAUAAUAUUAUUGGCCUCAGGACUGAGGAGCAUAAUCAUCCAUAGCAAUAGCAUUAUGUUUAAUCUCUGUGUCCAGCUUAGACGUAUUUCUUUUGAGCAAGUCUUAUUCUUGAGGCAGGCAAUUGAGUUUUGAAAACAGGGGAAGGAGUUCCAGAGAACUGAUGCUGUCUCCCUUCGGCCAAAGCCCAUCUGGAUCCAAAUCUGAGAAGCCCUUCCCUUGCCAUUUGUGGCGGCCAAUGCAUCUCCCAGAAACCCUAAAAUGGUCAGCACUGCCCUCACCAGACGAUGAAGCACACAUGGAAACUCUCCAACGCAGCCCAAGCAGAGUUGUUCUGCUUCCACAGAACCUCUGCAAAACCAAAACCCCUUAUCCCCUUUCCUAUCUUCCUCCUAAGCUCUGCAAAUUACGUAUGCACCACCCAAGUCAAUACCUACACUCAAUCCUCCGAACAUUCCAUGCUCCGUGAGAUCGUUGGUUUAUUCUCCUACAAUCCCUAUUUCCAUAAUUGGAUAGCCAGAGAGGAUUUCAAAAGGGAAGUUAUGAACUUGGCAUGUAAAUUGGUUCGGGUAGCCGAUGACCCUAGUGUAGUUCUUAAUGUUUUGGAGAAGAAUUCUCAGUUUUUGUUUUGGAGGUGUCCUGAUGGGACAGCCCUUGUUGAUCUUUUGGAUGUGAUGGAAUCAUGGUCUCACUUGUCUCUAAUGGUAUAUUUGAAUUUCAACAGAUGCAGUUGAUCUGA